GUAGUUCUGGGUACACCGAGUAGCAUCUAACGUUGCUUCCGGCUCUUGUAGCUAACUACACCGAGUUGACCGCUACACCGAGUUGAGCAUUACUUCCAUGUGCAUUACUGACAUUGUUAUUCCGGCUCUUGUAGCCUAAGCUACAGUGAGUAAACACCUACUCUUAUGCUCUAAAAGCUUUCCAAUAGCUGCUACACCGAGUUUAACUAUGUCAGUAAUUUAGAAAAUGCUGAGUCUGCCCCAAACCCAAAUCAAGUAUAAGUUUUUAGUUAUUUUGUAUUAAGAAGUUAUGUAAUAUAGU
rnacentral:lncRNA from 1 species